UAUCAUGUUGUCUUGACUGCAACUGCACGUACCUUCAUCCACGGCACGGGUACGGGAGCAGCAGCAAACAAAAAGCAGAGCAGAUAGCAGGAAAGGCUUGCAGAGGAAGAGUGCAGAGGCCUAUGCCGAGUGCUCUCUGGAUUAUAUAAUUAAGAAUGGAGGCUGCAGCGCGCGUGGAGGCAGACGCCGGCGAGUCAGCAGCGAUUUUUGGUGCAAUUGAUUUGGUCCUUCUUGUGGUCACAGUUGGCAUCGCGGGAUGGCUUCUGAUGAAGAAAUUGCGGCCAACACCGCCCCCGUCCAUCAACUACGACGUCCAAGUCGUCAGUUCGAUGUACCAAUCAACACCAAGUUCAGAGACGUCCUUUGUGCAGAAACUGCGCACGUCUGGACGCAGCCUGGUCGUGUUUUACGGUAGCCAGACAGGCACUGCUGAAGAGUUCGCUAGUCGACUGGCCAAGGAGGGAGGCCGCUUCAGUCUCAAGGGAAUGCUGGCAGACCCUGAGGAGUGUUCCAUGGAGGAACUGUCACAGCUUAAGGACAUUCCUAACUCAUUAGCGCUGUUCUGCCUCGCCACAUACGGCGAAGGUGACCCCACCGACAACGCACAGGAGUUUUUUGAGUGGCUCCAGAAUGGCGAUGCUGACCUCAGCGGGCUCAACUAUGCUGUUUUUGGACUGGGAAACAAAACCUACGAGCACUACAACGAAAUGGGCAAGUUCGUGGACAAGCGGCUUGAGGAUCUGGGCGCAACUCGCGUUUUUGAACUCGGCAUGGGUGAUGACGAUGCCAACAUCGAGGAUGACUUCAUAACAUGGAAAGACCGUCUUUGGCCGGCAGUAUGCGAAUUUUUCGGCAUUGAAGCUAGCGGCGAAGAGGAAAGCAUGCGUCAAUAUAAACUCACCGAGCAUGCAGACAUCGCACCCGAAAAAGUGUACAAGGGCGAGGUUGCAAGACUCAAUUCGCUCGUCACACAGCGCCCGCCUUUUGACUCCAAGAACCCCUUCAUGGCGCCAAUAUUAGAGAAGCGAGAACUCUACACUGGUGGUGAUCGCUCUUGUUUGCACAUCGAACUUGGAAUCACUGACUCAAAGAUCAGAUAUGAUGCUGGCGAUCACGUGGCUGUGUAUCCUGAAAACGACAAAGCUCUAGUGGAGCGUAUUGGCCAACUCCUUGAAGUUGACCUGGACACUGUUAUUACCCUGACCAACGUUGAUAGUGACUCUAGUAAAAAGACUCCGUUCCCCUGUCCGUGCUCGUACAGAACUGCUCUCUCAUUUUACGUCGAUAUAACCAGCAAUCCGAGAACGCACGUGUUGAAAGAAAUAUCCGAAUUCACUAGUGACCCUGAAGAGAAAGCAAAGCUGAAGCAGAUGGCCAGCACCACUGCUGAGGGCAAGCAGGAGUACCAAGAGUGGGUCAUCAAGGAGAAUCGGUCCAUUGUCCACAUCCUGGAGGACCUGAAAUCAUGCAAGCCACCUCUUGAUUAUUUGUUGGAGCUGUUACCGCGCCUGCAAUGCAGAUAUUACUCCAUUUCAUCCUCUCCCAAGGCACACGCUGAGAGAAUACACGUUACCGCAGCUAUUGUGCAAUACAAAACUCCGACAGGGCGCACCGUCAACGGCGUCGCCACUAGCUGGCUGGGCCGUCUGUCGUUGAACGAUAAAAUACCCAUAUUUGUCCGUCGUUCCGCAUUCCGCCUUCCGACCAGGCCGCAGACUCCUGUUGUCAUGAUUGGUCCUGGCACAGGAAUUGCUCCCUUCCGUGGAUUCCUGCAAGAACGAGCAUUUUGUUUGGAGCAAGGUAAACUGAUUGGGGAGACUAUUCUGUAUUUUGGCUGUCGGAAACGGGACGAGGACUUCCUUUACCAAGAAGAGCUCACGGAGUUUGUUAACAAAGGUGUUCUUAAGCUGCAUACUGCAUUUUCUCGAGAAAAAGAGCACAAAGUUUACGUGACGCAUUUGAUGGAGCAGCACAAAGAGGACUUGUGGCGCAUUUUAGGAAAGGAAAAUGGCCAUCUCUAUGUUUGUGGUGAUGCACGCAAAACUUACAAAGAUGGAGAAGAGAAGAAGGAUUUUGUGAUCCAUGCUGCACAGAAUGCCAACCGGGUAAGCAGAUCAAGCAGAAAACCGUCCUAAAACCGGCGAGUCCAGCCCACGGAUCGCCAUCAACAAGAAAUUCUCAGCAGUUCUCUGAUUCAGAGCGCACGCAAGCCAACGAAACAAAAUUUCCCUAAUCAAGAAACCUUGAAAUUUCAAAAUGAGGGAAAUGUGUAGAACCAGAAAUCCAAAAACAUUUCAAGAGUGUUGAUUGUUUAUUAAUGAAUGACAUAUGUCUCAUUUAAAUAAACUGAAUAUUUUUUAAACUCUAAAUCAAUCUAUAUCUUUAUGAUAUCAUGUGGCAACCCUGAUUAUAAAAAAGGGGCGUCACAGUACAUUUAUGUAUUUCAAAAUCAUCACUUUUCACUACUUCUAAUUUUUUAUCUUAUCGGGUACGCGGCUCGCCAAAUCAGCGAAAUACAAUUGAUAAGUUGGAAACAAAUAGAUGAUCAAAGCAUUCAAAAAUGGAAUACGCACUGGAAGCCGCUAUGGACGAAAUGAUGCAGGCUGCUGACGUGAAGGGCGUGCUCUUGACAGACAAGACUGGCAUGACUCUGGGACUACGAGGGCUUGGUGCAAACCUGAACGCUGGAGGUGUCGACCGGCUAGCCAAAAUCGCAGCUAAACUGGACCCGAGUGGCCGGCUUCCUCAAGUGGUGGCUGUCGAGGGCGAAAGCUCGCACAUUUUAAUCCAGCAAAGGCCCAACUUCACCGGUGCAGUGGUCAAAGAGGUCAUCUCAGCUCAUAAUCCUACUUCGUCGGAAAACACUUUCUAAAAAUUUAAGGUAUUGCAGGUACUUGGUACUUAAAAAUAUUAAUGAAAAUAUAAUUAUAUCAUGAAAAAUUGUUAUUAUUUACCGCUCAUGAUAUAAUAAUUUAAAUACGGUCAGGGAUCUAUCUAAGUGCAAAUUUUUAAAGGUGCCAUACAUGAUUUAGCCUAAAAUUUAAUGUAAAGUACUGUUUGCUGCCAUCGUAUGUACAUAUAUUGAAUUUAUUGUAUCCAUGCAAAAAUAAAACUGAUAUUAUCUCGA